UCCAACUGAAGAUGUACUGUCCCGUCACUGCCCAUUUGACUCCAUGUGUGUGUGUCCCUAUCUCUUAGUUUCUCUCUACCUGCCUCUCUUCUCUCUCUCUCUGUCUGUCUCUGCAUGUGUCUCUGUUGUUCGUUCUGUCUCUUUCCCCCACCACACACAUUCACUCACCCCCAGUCUCCAGGGACCUGACUCUUCCCAGGACAGUUUCCCCAACCCAGAACUAAUGCACCAUGUCUCCAGGUAUCUCCUGCUUUCUCUCCAGUGGGUUUAAGGGUCAAGCCAACCUGGGUUCACCUCCCACCGUGGUGCCCUAGCACCUCCCGCGUGUAUGCCGCAUGCCUCCUCAGGAUGGUGCCAUAAGCCCACGCCUGCCUCACAGUGCCCCUGGGAGGAGCGAGGCUUGAUACAUGGUAAGUGCUCAGUAAGUACAACAAUUUGUCACCAUCAACAUCGUCGUCAUCAGGGAUGAUGUGGUCAUGGGCCUCCCAGCCCUGAUGCAGAGGGAAGCGGACCCAGGAGACGUGAAGAUCUGCCCACAUCUCCUCCUCCCACCUCUUAUGGGUUCUGGGAGGGAUCAAUCAGAAGUUCAAGACUUUGGGCCUUUGGCUCGCUGGCCCCUGGGACUUCAGAGGGUCCAAGGGCUAUGGAGCUCAGAAACCAGUGGGAAGGGCCACGAGUCUGGAGGGGGAGUGGAGUUCUCAGUGCAUGGAGGUUGGGGGAGCUCAGAGAAGCUUCCCAGCUCGGGUCAAAUCCCAGCUCUGCCACGCACUAUCCAGGUGGCCUUGGGAAACUGCUCAACCUCUGUGUGCCUCAGUUUCCCCAACCGUGAUACACGGCCAAAAGAAUUUCAUAAGUUGCCAGGAGGAGAAAACAAGUUUAACGCAUUUGUAAGUGGUCGGGAGCUCUCGAGCACCACGUGGAAGUGAGUGGAUGUGAGGUUAACAGCAGAAUGACGAGAGGAUAAAAAGAGAAAUAGACCUAUAAGGACAGCGCGGUCAGCAUGCAACCUCAAGGAUGCUGUGCAGAGCGUGGGAUUAGGGCGGCCUGGGUCCAAGUCCUGGCCUUACUGCUUCAUAAAUUAUCUUGGGCAUGUCACUGCCUCUCUGAGGCUUAGUUUGCUUAUCUGUAAAAUGGGACUAUUACUCCUAGCAACCGUUCACUGCGCCUGCAUGCUGCUUGACCCUGUGGGUAAGUGCUAUCGUCAUCCAUGCCUUGCAGAGGGCACAGGGCUCAGGGACGUGAAAUCACCUGCCCAAGUCAGGGUCGGGCUGAGUUGGGAUUUGAACCCGGGCAGGUCGGCCUCAGUCAGGGAUAUCAGAUUGUCCCACCGUGGCCACUGUCUUCCUGGGUCUCAAAGACCUGGUGCUGCCUGAUGGAGGGGACCCAGGACAUCAUCCCUCAGGUUGAAGUUCAGGCGGCUCAGGGACAGGGAGGAGCCAAGAGGACACCCAGGAAGGAGCCCUGGGUACAGGUUCCUCCCUUGGCCAUAACAGCAGAUGUCCCCAGGGCUUCAGGGAAUCCUCGCCACUCAUUCAUUCAUUCAUGCUGUAUUUUAGCCACUGGGCUGCAUAUCGGGGGUACGAGUGGUGAACAAGACCCCACAGAUCUUGUCUUUGAACAGCUUCUAUUUUCAUGGCAGGAGUUAGAAACCAGACAAAAACAAUCGUACGUAAAGUUAAGGGACAAGAGAAAGUAACAGAAGGUAGUGAAAGAGAGAGUGACUCUGGUGGGACCUGCUUUUAGAUGGGGGCAGUGAGGGAGGGCCUCCCUGAGGAGAUGACCCUUGAGCAAAAGGAGGAGAGGGCAUUGGUCAUGGGAAGAUCUAGAAAGAAGUGUCCAGGCAGAAGGAGCAGCACAUGCAAAGACCCUGAGGUGGGAAUCAGCAAAGUCAGUCGACCCUCCUGGGGGUCCUGGGAGGGAUGUGAGGGAGGCACAGAGGUCCCUUGAGAAGAGGUCAGGGAACCAGGACAGGGAAUUUGAAUUUUAUUCACUGGCCAAUUAGGGAAAAUGAGGCAGGAGAUGAUACUUGCCCAAGGUCACACAGUGAACUAAGGGGGGUGGGGGUCUGAGAAGAGCUCAGGCUCCUGCUGUGGCCUCAGGCACGAGGUACCCGGGGCGGGGGGCAGGACCCACCCUGCCCCUUCCCACACACCGUCCUCUCCAGAGAAAUGGCGUCCACUGGCAACCCUGCCUCUGCACCAUCCUUUCCAGCCUUAAGCUCCUCCAGCCCUGCUGUCCAGGCUUUCAUCAGGGGUGCCCACCCCACUCCCUCCUGGGUCCUGAGGGUAGAGGCCCCACUUUUUUCCCUCGGGGCGUUUUCAGAUCCCUUUUGUUACCUGAACAAUAAGUAACCCAGGUAGUUAGUUAUAAACUCCGCAGGAACAAGGAGCUGGUUGAUAAUUUAUAGCAACAUCUCAAAUUUAAAUGGAAAGUAAAUAGCAUGCUGUUAGCAUUAAAGAAAACCCAAUCGGGUCAGGCGGGAAGCACUCCAGCCUUCUCUGCAGCUUGGGGUGUCUCACUCUCUCCCCAGCCCCUUCUCCCAGCUGGGUGGGAGCCCCUCGGCCCUCCCGGCUCUUCUGCUCUCCUCUCCUUCUCCAGGCCUCUCCAUCUCCCCCCCAACCCCACGCCCUCCCUCUUCCUCCACAGCUCCCCGAUCUCCCUCAGCUUCCAGGUCUCUGCUGGCUCCCAGGGAGCACUUUGACCCCUGCUCCCCCCUCGGGUGCUAUGGAUGAAGCCUCCCCCCUACUCACCAUGCCACCAAAGGGGCUGCUGAUCAAGAGGCCCCACCCAGCCAGGUAAGAAAGGCCCUUGGCACCCCCUGCCCCCACUCCCACCCGAAAGCCCCCAGUGCUAUCUGGGCCCCGGAGCAGGUCUGGCCCGGCCCCACCCUGUCCCCUGUCGCCCUCGCCCUGGGUCUGGCAAUGCCUGACUCUUUGCCCCUCCCCUGCAGCGCAGCAGGGCCCUUUGCCCUCUUCUUCCUGCCAAGUCAGGGGGCCCUGGCUGCUCCCUUGCCCCCUGCCCAGGCCCUCACAAGGCCCGGCAGACCCUGAGGGCUCCCCCCACCCCAAGCUGGGAUCAGGACCUUGGACAGAAAAGGUCCCGUAGAGAGUCUGUUUGGGACUCUUUCUCCCACUGCCCAGCCGCCGCAAUUGAGAGCACCAAGCAGAGCGGCUGUGGAGCGCCAGUGGGUGGCCUUAGUCGAGCUACUUCCCCUCGCUGGGCCUCAGUUUCCCCAGCUGUGAAGCAGUUAUCCCUAGCUAACUAGUCAGCCGCCGUUCAUCCCAACAUUAUCCGACCAUAUGCACCUGAAACCUCAGCUUGGGGCCUGGCUGUUAGGAUUGGAGCUUAGGAGCCUUGGGGAGGGCAGUCCCCACAGCCCCUAGACCCCUUUCCCCCCGCCCCUUUGGGUAGGAGGGUUGGUUGGCCCAGGCCUCCCCAGGCCACCAUCUUUACAAGUUAAUGAUCACAGGCCUUAUCAGAGCCUUUUACCGUUUAUAAAUUUAUAAAACAAAAGAGAAAUAAUAAAGCUCAUGGGUAAUUAGUAACCAGGUCAGCUCUGCUGAGGAGAGGGGAGGCAUCGGGCUCAGACCCACCCAGUUCUCUGGGACUUGGGGAACCAGCCAGCGGAUGGGGGUGCACAACAGGGAGACCUCUCAGGGUGCCUGCCGGUGAGGCGGAGGGGCUGAAGCUGUGCAGGAAAGGGGAGCAGGUCCUGCCCCUAGGCUCCAUCUCCCUCAGGUGUCGCUGUGGACCACCUAAAAAUCCCCUAAAGUCGUCUGGGGCACCUGUGCACACCCGCGAGCGGCCCGCCUAGUCAAGGAGCAACGGGGACACGGACACGGCAGAUACUCAGCAAGUGGUAGCCCUGAGCUUUAUCGCCGUUCUCUCCUACUGGGCAAGCAACGAUUUGCAAAGCCAGAGUUCAGAUUAAGAGGUUAUGGUGCCAAGGAUGAAACAAUGGCCAAGAGCACAGACUCUGGCCACCGCUGCCUGAGUUUGAGUCUACCUCUGCCAUUUACCAGCGGUGUGGCCUUGGGCAACUUGAGUAACAUCUCUGCACCUCCGUUUCCUCUUUGCUGAAAUGGACAUGAAAACACUAUCUGCCCUGUGAGUUGUUAGGAGGAUAAAGGAGGUAAGACACAGGAAGCACCAUGCCUGGCGUAACGUAAGCACAUCGCCCUACUGAAUGAUUGUCUUUACAUGGCUAUUAACAUGAGUGCUCCACUCCCCUUGGCCAGGCUGAGUUCUCUUCUUUUGCAAAAGUUCUUCCCAUAAGAAGAACUUUUGCAAAAUCCCAUUUGACUUAUAAGCCCUGAUUCUGGCAUUCAAGGCCAUCAAUACCCCAGCUCCACUCUCUAAUCAGCCACACUAUCGAGCAUCUUCCAGGGCACACCCAGAACACUCUCACAUCUAUGCUUUUGCAUGAGUUGUUUUCUCUACCUGGACACCUCUACCUGUUAACCUGUCCUGAAGAUCUUCCUGGGUCUCCUUCUGAUCCCUUCUAUUGCCAACAGCCACAGGAGCCUUCACAAGCCAGCCUUCCCUACCUCCCUAGAACAGGACCAGCAGUACCAGGAAGCUGGUCAACAUCAGUUACCUUGGAUGGGACAGUAUGUACAAACAAAAACAGGGACGCCUGGGUGGCUCGGGGGUUUACGCCUGCCUUUGGCCCAGGGUGUGAUCCUGGAGCCCUGGGACUGAGUCCCACAUUGGGCUCCCUGCAUGGAGCCUGUUUCUCCCUC